rnacentral:tRNA from 1 species
AGAGGAGUGGCAGAGUGGUCGAUUGCGGCGGUCUUGAAAACCGUUGACUGUAAAAGGUCCGGGGGUUCGAAUCCCUCCUCCUCUGCGA